rnacentral:rRNA from 1 species
UUGUUAGCAGCCGCGGUAAUACGUAGGGAGCAAGCGUUGUCCGGAAUCAUUGGGCGUAAAGCGCGCGUAGGUGGCCACAUAAGUCCGUUGUGAAAGUCAAAGGCUCAACCUUUGAAAGCCGAUGGAUACUGUGUGGCUAGAGUACGGAAGAGGCGAGUGGAAUUCCUGGUGUAGCGGUGGAAUGCGCAGAUAUCAGGAGGAACACCAAUAGCGAAGGCAGCUCGCUGGGACGUUACUGACACUGAGGCGCGAAAGCGUGGGGAGCGAACAGGAUUAGAAACCCUCGUAGUCC